rnacentral:rRNA from 1 species
GACGAACGCUGGCGGCGUGCUUAACACAUGCAAGUCGAACGGAAAGGCCCUGCUUUUGUGGGGUGCUCGAGUGGCGAACGGGUAAGUAACACGUGAGUAACCGACCCUUGACUUUGGGAUAACUUCAGGAAACUGGGGCUAAUACCGGAUAGGAGCUCCUGCUGCAUGGUGGGGGUUGGAAAGUUUCGGCGGUUGGGGAUGGACUCGCGGCUUAUCAGCUUGUUGGUGGGGUAGUGGCUUACCAAGGCUUUGACGGGUAGCCGGCCUGAGAGGGUGACAGGCCACAUUGGGACUGAGAUACGGCCCAGAUUCCUACGGGAGGCAGCAGUGGGGAAUAUUGCACAAUGGGCGGAAGCCUGAUGCAGAAACGCCGCGUGCGGGAUGACGGCCUUCGGGUUGUAAACCGCUUUCGCCUGUGACGAAGCGUGAGUGACGGUAAUGGGUAAAGAAGCACCGGCUAACUACGUG